ACGGGAGGCAGCAGUGGGGAAUAUUGGGCAAUGGGCGAAAGCCUGACCCAGCAACGCCGCGUGAGGGAAGAAGGUCUUCGGAUUGUAAACCUUUGUCUUAUGGGACGAUAAUGACGGUAGCUAAAGAGGAAGCCACGGCUAACUACGUGCCAGCAGCCGCGGUAAUACGUAGGUGGCAAGCGUUGUCCGGAUUUACUGGGUGUAAAGGGUGCGCAGGCGGGACUGCAAGUUGGAUGUGAAAUACCGGAGCUUAACUCCGGAACUGCAUCCAAAACUGUAGUUCUUGAGUGGAGUAGAGGUAAGCGGAAUUCCGAGUGUAGCGGUGAAAUGCGUAGAUAUUCGGAGGAACACCAGUGGCGAAGGCGGCUUACUGGGCUCUAACUGACGCUGAGGCACGAAAGUGUGGGUAGCAAACAGGAUUAGAUACCCUGGUA
rnacentral:rRNA from 1 species